rnacentral:rRNA from 1 species
CCUACGGGAGGCAGCAGUGGGGAAUCUUGCACAAUGGAGGAAACUCUGAUGCAGCGAUGCCGCGUGAGUGAAGAAGGCCCUUGGGUUGUAAAGCUCUUUCGUCGGGGAAGAAAAUGACUGUACCCGAAUAAGAAGGUCCGGCUAACUUCGUGCCAGCAGCCGCGGUAAUACGAAGGGACCUAGCGUAGUUCGGAAUUACUGGGCUUAAAGAGUUCGUAGGUGGUUGAAAAAGUUAGUGGUGAAAUCCCAGAGCUUAACUCUGGAACUGCCAUUAAAACUUUUCAGCUAGAGUAUGAUAGAGGAAAGCAGAAUUUCUAGUGUAGAGGUGAAAUUCGUAGAUAUUAGAAAGAAUACCAAUUGCGAAGGCAGCUUUCUGGAUCAUUACUGACACUGAGGAACGAAAGCAUGGGUAGCGAAGAGGAUUAGAUACCCUCGUAGUCCAUGCCGUAAACGAUGUGUGUUAGACGUUGGAAAUUUAUUUUCAGUGUCGCAGGGAAACCGAUAAACACACCGCCUGGGGAGUACGACCGCAAGGUUAAAACUCAAAUGAAUUGACGG